UGUAGGAGUGAGCCUGCUCGCGAUAGCGGUAUGUCAGCAAAAAUUGCUUUGGCUGAUAGACCGCUAUCGCGAGCAGGCUCACUCCUACA
rnacentral:misc_RNA from 1 species